GAUGAACGCUGGCGGCGUGCCUAAUACAUGCAAGUCAAGUGAACAGAUGAGGAGCUUGCUCCUCUGACGUUAGCGGCGGACGGGUGAGUAACACGUGGAUAACCUACCUAUAAGACUGGGAUAACUUCGGGAAACCGGAGCUAAUACCGGAUAAUAUAUUGAACCGCAUGGUUCAAUAGUGAAAGACGGUUUUGCUGUCACUUAUAGAUGGAUCCGCGCCGCAUUAGCUAGUUGGUAAGGUAACGGCUUACCAAGGCAACGAUGCGUAGCCGACCUGAGAGGGUGAUCGGCCACACUGGAACUGAGACACGGUCCAGACUCCUACGGGAGGCAGCAGUAGGGAAUCUUCCGCAAUGGGCGAAAGCCUGACGGAGCAACGCCGCGUGAGUGAUGAAGGUCUUCGGAUCGUAAAACUCUGUUAUUAGGGAAGAACAAAUGUGUAAGUAACUAUGCACGUCUUGACGGUACCUAAUCAGAAAGCCACGGCUAACUACGUG
rnacentral:rRNA from 1 species